ensembl:miRNA Gm24282 predicted gene, 24282
AUGAUGUAUGUAUGUAUGUAUGCAUGCAUGCAUGCAUGUAUGUAUGCAUGCACAUUCACUUGUGUG